AAAAGAAGAAUGUAAUCUCAUUGU
rnacentral:snRNA from 1 species